GAGCAAUCUCAACUCUUGAGAAUGGUUCGAUCAACCUGCAUAGAUUUUGCUCCAACAAAGUGUCAUAGAGAGAAGAGAGAUGCCUGUGGACAAUAGGGUCUUCCUCUAGUUGAGCCUUAAAAUCUCUAAGUGCUGUCUCGAAAAGCUUCAACGAACGCUUCGAAUGUGCAUCAGCUACAGCCUUCAUGGCAUCCAGCUCAAUCCCCACAUAUUGUAGACCUGCUUUUGAUGAUAUUAUUC
rnacentral:misc_RNA from 1 species